rnacentral:rRNA from 1 species
UACAGAGGGGGCAAGCGUUAUUCGGAAUUAUUGGGCGUAAAGGGCGCGUAGGCGGCUUUGCAAGUGACGGGUGAAAUCCCUCGGCUUAACCGAGGAACUGCCUGUCAGACUGCAUGGCUCGAGACCAGGAGAGGUGAGUGGAAUUCCCAGUGUAGCGGUGAAAUGCGUAGAUAUUGGGGAGGAACACCAGUGGCGAAGGCGGCUCACUGGACUGGUACUGACGCUGAUGCGCGAAAGCGUGGGGAGCAAACAGG